UGCCUUUUCCGGCCCCCCCCAUGGGUUUCCCUGCAGCUGAGAACCAGGCCGGGCAGGAGGGGCAGGGCUGAGCUGCACAUUUCCUGCAUGAAGCAGCGGUGACCAAGCAGAGCCCGCUGAGACAGGAGGGCUGCUUGUGGGGGGUGGUUAAUAAAAGCCGUUUCCCAGAGCAGCUUGCAAGCCAAUACCCCAGCUGCAAAGCAAGAGCCCCCCGCCGCCUCCGGGAGGCCAAGAAGCCCGAUCAACACAAGAAGCAUAGAGUAAAAGCAGUAACUUGCAGGGAGAAAAACCCAUUGGGAAGAUGUGCGGAUGGACCCCGAGAGAGUCCAGGCAACAAGACAAGACUCACAAGUAAAGGAGAGCACAGCGGUUUCUAAGAUGGGCUCUGCUGAAGUACAGAACAUUGCCUUGGUAAGAAGGGUUCUCACCACCACAACUGUUGUUCAACAGAGAAACAGAAUUGAACUACCGGAGCAGAGACAGGGUGCGUGCAAAUGAUCAAAAUCUCUAGAGGCUACGAAGAAGAAAUGAACAGAAGGGGUACUACGACACAGAGAUGCAUGACUUGCCACUUUUGCAGUCACAUGAUAAUGUACAAAUCUAUGAUGGCAAAACAUGUGCACAAGAGGCAAUAGUCUCAGAAGAGGUGACUGCUUGUUCAUAGGAGGUCACUGGAGACAUACUUAAGAGAACCAGAAUUGCUAGAACAUCUUCCAUCGAAUAAGAAGAAAAGAGAGCAGAGUACAGAAGCUCCAGGACCUUAAACCAAACAAGCUGCAGUGACAGUAGUCAAAUUCAGCUGCAAACACUGAACUUCAGCUAGCACUAAGGCGGUGUAUAAACAUUAAAAAACCUACCCUGAGACUAACUGAGAGCUGCUGAAGCUAGAAUAGUAAGAAUGUAAAUAAAUGUUCUUUUGUAUUACAAAAAUGGUGCCUGAAUCUUUAUCUUUGU